CGAUUUUUUUUUUAAAAUAAUUGUGGUGAUUAACCCUUUACGGCUUCAACCAUUACAAUAUGAAAACAACUCUUAAUGAAGUUCGUACACUAAAAGCAUUCUUCUUGAUUUAACUUCAUCAGGAACGGAACUCCAGAAUGACGGAUUUAUAAAUACGUAAAAAAGUUAUAUAACCAUAGGGCAGAGAUGAACGCUCACAAACAAACUUAACCCCUCC
rnacentral:lncRNA from 1 species